rnacentral:lncRNA from 1 species
ACGGGAACCUGCCCUGCUGCACCCGGAGGCGCUGCAAAUGCCUGAGGAGGUCAGAGAAAUAGCCCGGGCUUGCCUGGGGUGCCCCGGUUUCGCCUGGCCGGGCUGCCCGGGCGCGCUGGCCGGGCGGCUUCACGCUGGCUGAGGUGCUGGCUGCGGUCCUGGGGCUGGCACGGCACCGAAACCCUUGCUCACGCUGGGAAGCCAGCAGCAAAGCGCCGCGCAGCCGUGCCCGGCCCAGCUCUUGUGCGUCGCGUCCAGUAACGCAGAGAUGCGUACUGGCAGGAGGCACUCGGCCUGCUAGAGUCCCUCGAGCCCCCACGUGAGGCUGAACAGCAUUUAGCCCCAUUUCUCCAUCUCUCCAACCCAGACAGGGCGAGGGGAGUGGAGCGGUUGCCUGGAGAAAUCAAGACGGAGCAAGGGCUGAGGAAGACCACGGGCAGCGGGGAAGGUCGAGCAACAGGGAGCGUGCGGCUGUGCUGCAGCCUGCCCCGGGCGGGGGACAAGCACCGGCCCUUCCCAAUGCAUCUCCCUCAUCCAGGCCUGUCAUUAGCCCCGGAGGAGAGGGGAGAUGCUGCCCCCUGCCCCACAGCUGACCUUGGUGUGUCCUGGAUGGCACCCACAUCAUGCAGCAGAGCUCACCCCACUCGUACCGCCGGCAGGGGAGAUUUCCAGGAGAGGGGUCCACAUCCAUCCCAUCUUUGGUGGCUCUUCAUCAGGAAGGCACGAGACGCGCGGACAGGAAAUGAUUUCAGCUGUCAAACUGCUUUGUGGCAGGUGCCACAGAGUGACGGGGUAAGCUGUUUUGGUCUCCGUCCUCGAUGCUGCUACAUCCGUCCAUGUCCCCGUGCUGCAGGGAUCCCCUUUGCCCUGCCUGGCCUGGCAGCAAUGCCGUAGAUAGAAGUCAAAAGCCUGGAUGGUCUCUGCCAGCUGCGUCACCCGUCCCGAUGCCGUGCCGCCCGUGGCGGGUGCCUGCUUUGCACCGUGACCAGCCCAGGGCCUGCCGUCAGCUCCCUUUGCUCCUGCAAAGCCUCUGAUGCUCCACUCCGUGUUGGAUCCGAGGAUCUUUGAGGAAGCCUGUGGAGCAGUGGAGCUCCUGGCCAGCACUUUGCCCCUUCGCACUCUGUGGCCACCAGGUUGGUUGAACCCGGUCCUGCAUGGAUGCUUCUGGUUAGCGCUGAGAUACAAUGUUUAAUGCAGAAGUGGGAUUGCUUCUCUCACAGCUGAGUAUUUAACGAGUUUUCUCCUAGCGACCCGCAGUGGGAAGGAUGCUGGCCAGCAUCCUCGGGAAGGGGCGCCGGUCCUCACCCAGGACUCAUCUCCCAGCGCCUGCUCCGUCCCACGAGCAGUGCGACGACUGGGUGAGAGCACAGCCGGGGCCGGGGCCCAGGCCAAGGUGGGCUUGAGGAGAGCGGUUUUAUCCCCACUGCUGAGCACCCUUUGCCAGGCCAUGAUGGCCUAGGGGACUGGAUGUGGCCGUGAUGCGGAUGGAGGCAGAGGGAAGCGAGGCUCCUUCUCUCCACCUUGCUUGGGAGAAGGCUCGUACACCCACCGCUCUGCUCUUGGACCUGGUGCCGUGACCUCCAGGCUGCAGGCUCUCUGGAGAAGACAAAAGAUGCUCUCUGUGUGCGGAAACUGAGGCAGCAUCAGCAGACACCACUCGCACUGAGUCGUGCAAGAAGCCAAGGGUUAAAUACGGCAAUUAAAUGCCCCCUCCUCUCCUUCCUGCCCCCGGAUCCAGCUGCUAGAGCGAGCUGGACCUCCCCGAGGGAGCGUGUCCUGGGCUCGGGGUUAUGCGCAGGGUCUCGCCCGCCGCUCUCUGCCGGAAGAAAGCAGAGGGGGGCCUGGCUUCCCCGGGGGCUCCGCACAG